rnacentral:rRNA from 1 species
GUGGCCAAGUUGUUAAGGGCACACGGUGGAUGCCUGGGCACCAGGAGCCGAUGAAGGACGUAGGAGGCUGCGAUAAGCCUCGGGGAGCUGCCAACCGAGCGUUGAUCCGAGGAUGUCCGAAUGGGGGAACCCCGCACCAGUCAUGUGGUGUGACCCGCGCCUGAACACAUAGGGCGUGUGGAGGGAACGUGGGGAAGUGAAACAUCUCAGUACCCACAGGAAGAGAAAACAACAGUGAUUCCGUGAGUAGUGGCGAGCGAAAGCGGAAGAGGCUAAACCGUUUCCAUGUGAUAGCCGGCAGGCGUUGUGGGAACGGGGUCGUGGGACCGCUCAGUGCCUUCUGCCGAGGGCGCAGGGAGUCAGAAAGACGGCGUGUUAGUGGAAGGCCUUCUGGAACGGGUCGCCGUAGAGGGUGAGAGCCCCGUACACGAAAACUGCCGUCCUCCCGAGCGUGUUUCCCAAGUAGCACCGAGCCCGUGAAAUUCGGUGUGAAUCUGGCGGGACCACCCGCUAAGCCUGAAUACUCCCUGGUGACCGAUAGCGGACAAGUACCGUGAGGGAAAGGUGAAAAGUACCCCGGGAGGGGAGUGAAAUAGUACCUGAAACCGUGUGCCUACAAGCCGUGAGAGCCUUAGCCAUUUCGGUGGCGGGGUGAUUGCGUGCCUUUUGAAGAAUGAGCCUGCGAGUUAGUGGUACGUGGCGAGGUUAACCCGUGUGGGGUAGCCGUAGCGAAAGCGAGUCCGAACAGGGCGUUUCAGUCGCGUGCUCUAGACCCGAAGCCGAGUGAUCUACCCAUGGCCAGGUUGAAGCGCGGGUAAGACCGCGUGGAGGACCGAACCCACUUAGGUUGAAAACUGAGGGGAUGAGCUGUGGGUAGGGGUGAAAGGCCAAUCAAACUCGGUGAUAGCUGGUUCUCCCCGAAAUGCAUUUAGGUGCAGCGUCACGUGUUUCUUGCCGGAGGUAGAGCACUGGAUGGCCGAUGGGCCCCACAAGGUUACUGACGUCAACCAAACUCCGAAUGCCGGUAAGUGAGAGCGUGGCAGUGAGACUGCGGGCGAUAAGGUUCGUAGUCGAGAGGGAAACAGCCCAGAUCAUCGGCUAAGGCCCCUAAGCGUGUGCUAAGUGGAAAAGGAUGUGGGAUCGCAGAGACAACCAGGAGGUUGGCUUAGAAGCAGCCACCCUUGAAAGAGUGCGUAAUAGCUCACUGGUCAAGUGGUUCCGCGCCGACAAUGUAGCGGGGCUCAAGCACACCGCCGAAGCCGUGGCAUUCAUGCGUUAGCCCGCCU